rnacentral:lncRNA from 1 species
GCAUUUACAACUCAAAAAUAUGUUCCCUUUUCUUAGAUACAUCUUCUUUUUUUGUCAAACUUUCUUAGAUACAUCUAUAUUAAUAAAAUAUGAUGUUCUCUUAGAGAAUAUAAAGGCAUUAGAACACUGCACUAAAGUCACCUUUCUACAAAUUUUGGCUGAUAAUAGAGUUAAUAGAAUAAAGUCGGAAGCUCAUGUUUCAUUGGCUUUAGGCCAUAGCCGGUUCUGUUCUUUUAUGUGGUGCUACCACAUCAUCUUCCUUUUUUUGUAAAUUUGCCACAUCAUUUCCUUUUUUUUUCUAUGAAUGAGUUUAACAUUGUUGUUGGACUAAGCUAAAUCUUGAGGAUGACUUAUAUCAAAUCACUUAACUUGAGCUAGCAAAAAAAAAACAAUUGUUAAAACAGGUUAUUACACCACAUGUUAUUGCUCAACCACAGAAUGUAUCGACCAGUUCUGCGGUUCUGAGAGAGAGAGAGAGAGAGAGAGAGAGAGAGAGAGAGAGAGAGAGAGAGAGAGAGAGAGAGAGAGAGAGAGAAGGUAUGGGCUCGUGCUUUGGUCUGAAAAUUGACCAAAGGAAGGAACAAUUGGAAUUCUGAAGAAGCCCUAGAAACUCGGAGGAUGUUUUGGAUACAAACUAGAAGAUAUUUAACGAUGUAGCUUCAAUCUCAGAUCCAUGUUCUCCGAGCCAACAUCAUCGUGAAAAUCCAAGGCAUUUACAAGAUCAUGGUGGAAUGUUAUGUCGUCAACGUGUUGAACGAGGUGACUGAGUAAGUGAGAAAUCAAGGGCGAGUUGGUGGAAUCUUGAAGCUACCAAUUAAAUGGUAGCUAAUGGGUUUCUUCAGCUGGAUAUUCUCAUGAUCAUCAAUGGUAUUGCCUUGAAGACAUCUCUCAUGAUCUCGAGUAUUUAAUUUGAAUCCAGCGUGUACUGGAAAUAUGCAAUAAUUUGGUGGUAAAUUAUUUAUAAGAUGUUUUUAAGAGAGAUUACAAGAGAAAAUAUUAAGAAUUUCGUAAAAGAGUUAUGAAUUUGGAAAGAACAAUAAACCUAUGGAAAACCUAGUUCUUGUGGCAACUUCUAUGUGUUUGUGAAUGUCGCCCCUAUUUAUAGCCGAUCUCCUUCCUUUUUUCCUUCAAGUCGACGCACCCCUUUGACCGCCUCUUAGUUAAGUGGUCCAAUUAGUUCUGUUUACUUGAUGAGCC